CUUGAUGGAGCAGAAUGGCACUCUGUCUCAUCGAUCCAAGAGAAGCUCGGAUGUUUUCGAGGUCACUGACGAGUCUACUAUUGUCGGAGGCCUUGGGUGCUGAGGCUACAGGUGAGAACCAUCUGCUAUAGAGACUCGGAUGAAGACUUUCAGUUGGCGAAGUCCGAUAAGAGCCCAAUUGCUAGGGAAGUCCGUCUGGGAUUUACCUGGUGUGGAAGCUCGUCUGAAGAUUAUCCAUCGAAGAUGUCCGAUUUCAUGAGGAACUUAGUGGAAGGUCGGCUGGUGGUGGACUUCGGAUGGCAUUGGGGAGGCUCGUCUGCUGGAGGAGUUUGAGGGAUCCGAAGGUGAUCGACCGUUGUAGAAAUCCAACUGCUGGAGCCC
rnacentral:lncRNA from 1 species